rnacentral:lncRNA from 10 species
GGCAGGAAGUAGGAUUGAAGCAUACACAGCUGGACCGACACAGGCUCCUGCCUCCUCCUUUCACUUUCCUAGUUAGUUGCUGGAGCCUUUUCAAAUUAAUGGCGAAUGUCCCAUGAAGACUUAUGAAAUGCUACAAAUGUGUGUUACAGAAGAAGCUGGCCUGAUGAGUGUGAUGGCAGUGAUUGGAGUAAAGGGGGAGAAGUAAAAGAGGGAAGUUUUUCAUAAAUAAAAUUUCAGCUGAGAACUGAAAGUAAAUCAGUUGAAUUGCAGAGAAGGGAGAGAAGCAAUGUAUACUCCAGGUCAAAAAAAAAAAAUUGCAUGCCAAAGGCCCUCAAGUAAGUAAAACAAAACUUGGUUUAUUUGAGUAUCUGAAAAAAGAAAAAUUUUCCUGGGGUAUGCUGAACUGGAGAAAGCAUGGCACUAAUUAAUGUAUCCUGUUAUUAUGCAAUUCCCUUCUCUCCCUCUGUAUGCAAAUCCACACAAUCGCUGAAGCUGAGUUUAAAUUAUUUCACUUUCAAUCAGCUGUCUCUGUCCUCUUUGGCCCAACAUGAUCAGUCUAUCUUUAAAUUUUUCUAACAAUGUUUCUGUGUUCUUCUCGUUCUGAAGUGUUUGCAUAAAAAGCCUCAUAUUUUUACUUACCUGUUUGUCUUAAUUAUAUCUAGUUCCCCA